rnacentral:rRNA from 1 species
AUUGAACGCUGGCGGCAGGCCUAACACAUGCAAGUCGAGCGAGCGGCGGACGGGUGAGUAAUGUCUGGGAAACUGCCUGAUGGAGGGGGAUAACUACUGGAAACGGUAGCUAAUACCGCAUACCAUCAGAUGUGCCCAGAUGGGAUUAGCUAGUAGGUGGGUUAACGGCUCACCUAGGCGACGAUCCCUAGCUGGUCUGAGAGGAUGACCAGCAACACUGGAACGGAGACACGGUGCAGACUCUGACGGGAGGCAGCAGGGGGGAAUAUUGCACAAUGGGCGCAAGCCUGAUGAAGCCAUGCCGCGUGUGUGAAGAAGGCCGUCGGGUUGUAAAGCACGUUCAGCGGGGAGGCGUUAGCCGCAGAAGAAGCACCGGCUAACUCCGUGCCAGCAGCCGCGGUAGUAC